rnacentral:tRNA from 1 species
CCCCCUAUAGUUUAAUGGAUAGAAUACGGGCUUGCGGAGCCUGUGAUCGAGGUUCGACUCCUCGUGGGGGGA